GCUGAGAGAGAGAACGAGGGACGAGAGGAGAGAGAGAGAGAGAGAGAGAGAAAAGUGGGAUUAUUGCAUAGGCUGUUUCAUCUUUUUUUCUGUAAAAUGGAGCUGGCCCUGUGGUUUUAGCAUUCGUGGGAAGUGGAGCAACCGAGGGAGUGUCGACCGCCCGACCGCCCGCCCGACCAAGCGCUACAAUCAAUGAACGCUAGAGUGCAGGCAGCCCAUCAGCUGAGAGUGCCAUCGAUGCCCUGUGGAGCGUUUCUCUAACGUGCAUCGCGCUCAGUCAACUCGACUCACUUCAACCUGCGCCUCCUUUCUACAGUAGAACCACUACCAUCCUGUCAGGGAAAGAAAGCUUCCCAAGGUUUCUCCAGAUCAGUCACUAACUCCGCUCAGCCUCGCCAGCCAGACGACCGCCAGCCAGACGACCGCCUGCCAGACGACCACCAGCCAGACAAACGAGACACGAAGCCUUUCCUUCUGCCACCAGGACAGACAGCUUUGUCCUCCGAGCCCUAGAUGCCACUCAGCAAGCACAACAGCUGACUGAGCUCUGUGGCUGAGAGACUAGCAGUCCUGUCUGGUUCUGUCCUGUCCAGUCCGGUCCUGUCGUGUCUUGUCUCUCUAUAGACAUUUGAACUCAGACCUUCUUCAAGUUCCAGAACUCGGCCAGCCCAAGGUUCUGAAGUCAGGGUUCCGCUGCAAUAAACACCUUCUCUUCUGAUUGACACCUCAUCUCAGUUCCCAGCAUGCCUCACUCCUUCCAGCAGAAGCAAGCCCAGCAGAUGCUCCUCCUAUGGCAGGGAGUGAACCGGAUGAGAGAGGAGGCAGCAGGACAGUCCAUGAUGUGGAGCCACCACAGACACAGCUACCCAGGUGAACUAAAGAGUCAUAGCCUGGUCCCAGGCCCGGUUUGUGCUAUCAUGUUUGGUAUGACAAGGACAGGCAAGAAGUGACAUGAUAACACAAAAGAGAUUGGUAUCCAGGCUAAUAGAGUCCUCCUUACAGCCCUCAUUAAAACUCAGGUCCCCAAACUACAUUCAGAAAUAUGUAACUAAGACACUUCAUAUAGCGACCAGACACUAAGACACUUCAUAUAGCGACCAGACACUAAGACACUUCAUAUAGCGACCAGACACUAAGACACUUCAUAUAGCGACCAGACACUAAAGACACUUCAUAUAGCGACCAGCACACUAAGACACGUUUUAGCGACGA
rnacentral:lncRNA from 1 species